GAGUGCCUAAAUAAAGAUGUGCAAAGAGAUUUUGCUCAAGAAAUUUAUAUAUUUAGGGUUGUCAAUUCCUUCGGAUCAUAACGUUCUAUUCUACACAGCUUCCUGGUCCAAACUAUCACUGUCGUGAGGGUUCAAAGCUUGCCACACUUCCUCCUCCUGACAACAUUUUACAAGCACUAUUGUAAAAGUUUGAAUACAUUAUAUUUGAUUUUGUGAAAUAUAUUCAUUGCUAGAAUAUAUUGAACUAUUCUAUAAG